GAGCAUGUCUAAAGCAUAAUCUGAUGUC
rnacentral:sRNA from 1 species